rnacentral:rRNA from 1 species
UACGAAGGGGGCUAGCGUUGCUCGGAAUCACUGGGCGUAAAGGGUGCGUAGGCGGGUCUUUAAGUCAGGGGUGAAAUCCGGGAGCUCAACUCCAGAACUGCCUUUGAUACUGAGGAUCUUGAGUACGGGAGAGGUGAGUGGAACUGCGAGUGUAGAGGUGAAAUUCGUAGAUAUUCGCAAGAACACCAGUGGCGAAGGCGGCUCACUGGCCCGUUACUGACGCUGAGGCACGAAAGCGUGGGGAGCAAACAGG